rnacentral:rRNA from 1 species
CCUACGGGAGGCAGCAGUGAGGAAUAUUGGUCAAUGGUCGGGAGACUGAACCAGCCAAGCCGCGUGAGGGAUGAAGGUACAGAGUAUCGUAAACCUCUUUUGUCAGGGAACAAAGGCGGGGACGUGUCCCCGGAUGAGUGUACCUGAAGAAAAAGCAUCGGCUAACUCCGUGCCAGCAGUCGCGGUAAUACGGAGGAUGCGAGCGUUAUCCGGAUUUAUUGGGUUGAAAGGGUGCGCAGGCGGUCUGUUAAGUCAGCGGUCAAAGCCCGGGGCUCAACCCCGGCCCGCCGUUGAAACUGGCAGUCUCGAGUUGGAGAGAAGUAUGCGGAAUGCGCGGUGUAGCGGUGAAAGGCAUAGAUAUCGCGCAGAACUCCGAUUGCGAAGGCAGCAUGCCGGCUCCACACUGACGCUGAGGCACGAAAGCGUGGGUAUCGAACAGGAUUAGAUACCCUGGUAGUC